rnacentral:rRNA from 2 species
CUAGAGAUAGGGCGUUCCCCUUCGGGGGACAGAGUGACAGGUGGUGCAUGGUUGUCGUCAGCUCGUGUCGUGAGAUGUUGGGUUAAGUCCCGCAACGAGCGCAACCCUUGAUCUUAGUUGCCAGCAUUCAGUUGGGCACUCUAAGGUGACUGCCGGUGACAAACCGGAGGAAGGUGGGGAUGACGUCAAAUCAUCAUGCCCCUUAUGACCUGGGCUACACACGUGCUACAAUGGAUGGUACAAAGGGCUGCAAACCUGCGAAGGUAAGCGAAUCCCAUAAAGCCAUUCUCAGUUCGGAUUGUAGGCUGCAACUCGCCUACAUGAAGCCGGAAUCGCUAGUAAUCGCGGAUCAGCAUGCCGCGGUGAAUACGUUCCCGGGCCUUGUACACACCGCCCGUCACACCACGAGAGUUUGUAACACCCGAAGUCGGUGAGGUAACCUUUAUGGAGCCAGCCGCCUAAGGUGGGACAGAUGAUUGGGGUGAAGUCGUAACAAGGUAGCCGUAUCGGAAG